GAGGGUAACUGCGGGAGAAGGAAAGCUAGUGGGGGAGUAGAGCAGAGGAGUAUGUUGGUCCCCGGGGCCUGCUGGAGGUCCAGGUCCAUGCCCGAUGUGAGUAGCAGCAGGGCCAGCGCGCCCAGGAGCACAUCUUUUUCGACCGUAAAGGGAGACAGGAGGCCGACUCACUGCCUCGGCUAAAUGGAGAGGGAAUUUCAGCAGGGCCAGGGCACAGGCAUGGACCUUUUUCAGCUGUAAGGGAGGCAAGAGCAAGGUGCGAUGUAGGUCCCCGGGGCCUGCUGGAGGUCCAGGUCCAUGCCCGAGUCACUUAGAUAAAUUAAAAAUGUUGUUGUUUGGCUUUGUUUUUUUUUUUUUGUAUUUUAUUUGUUCCUGAGUAAAUCGGUUUGGCUGAGAUUAAAGUUAUAGUUUUUACACAGCUGAAUAAACGUCAAGCAGACAGCUGAUUAUCAGAAGUGUGAGAUGCUGGAGAAUAUACUCCGGUGUCCUGUUAUAUUUUAGACAGCAAGGAGUGUAUUAAACUUUACCGAAACAAUUUGCAAAUUUCAUUAAAAUUGAAUAAACUAUCAUCUUGUCUUUAUUUUUAGUUAGCACCUUAAAAGCUUAAAGCUGUAAGCUAAUGAUAGUUAUAUAAGAGCAGAUGCUGCUGGUGCAAUAAGCUGUAGUUUUACGUCCAGUGGAUGAUGAUCUGAUUAGUCGACUAAUCGCAUAAAUAAUCGGUGACUAGUCGACUAUCAAAAUAAUCGUUUGUGGCAGCCCUACUUCUAUGCCCCAUCUUUGUUUACUCUUUCCCACCCAACAAGUGCAUAAAUAAGAUGUUAAAAACGUCAUCAUCAUAUCAAACAUGAUCGAUUUGGGGGGAGUUUGUUUGGCACAUGCUGACUGCAUUCUAAUUA
ensembl:lncRNA